rnacentral:rRNA from 1 species
AUUGCCCUAGUACGGCGAGUGAAGCGGCAACAGCUCAAAUUUGAAAGCUGGCUCCGGCCCGCAUUGUAAUUUGCAGAGGAUGCUUUUGGCGAGGUGCCUUCCGAGUUCCCUGGAACGGGACGCCAUAGAGGGUGAGAGCCCCGUAUGGAUGGACACCAAACCUGUGUAAAGCUCCUUCAACGAGUCGAGUAGUUUGGGAAUGCUGCUCUAAAUGGGAGGUAAAUCUCUUCUAAAGCUAAAUACCGGCCAGAGACCGAUAGCGCACAAGUAGAGUGAUCGAAAGAUGAAAAGCACCUUGAAAAGGGGGUUAAACAGUACGUGAAAUUGUUGAAAGGGAAGCAUUUAUGACCAGACUUGCGCCGGGCAGCUCAUCAGGGGUUCUCCCCUGUGCACUCUGCCCGGCUCAGGCCAGCAUCGGUUCUCGUGGGAGGAUAAGAACAGUGGGAACGUGGCCCCCCUCCGGGGGGGUGUUAUAGCCCAUUGUACGAUACUCUCGUGGGGACCGAGGUUCGCGCUCCGCAAGGAUGCUGGCGUAAUGGUCAUCAAUGACCCGUCUUGAAACACGGACCAAGGAGUCGUCCAUUAGAGCGAGCGUUUGGGUGUAAAACCCGCACGCGUAAUGAAAGUGAACGCAGGUGAGAGCUUCGGCGCAUCAUCGACCGAUCCUGAUGUCUUCGGAUGGAUUUGAGUAAGAGUUUUAACGGACGGACCCGAAAGACAGUGAACUAUGCUUGUAUAGGGUGAAGCCAGAGGAAACUCUGGUGGAGGCUCGCAGCGGUUCUGACGUGCAAAUCGAUCGUCAAAUAUGAGCAUGGGGGCGAAAGACUAAUCGAACUGUCUAGUAGCUGGUUACCGCCGAAGUU